GACGAACGCUGGCGGCGUGCUUAACACAUGCAAGUCGAACGGAAAGGCCCUGCUUUUGUGGGGUGCUCGAGUGGCGAACGGGUGAGUAACACGUGAGUAACCUGCCCUUGACUUUGGGAUAACUUCAGGAAACUGGGGCUAAUACCGGAUAGGAGCUCCUGCUGCAUGGUGGGGGUUGGAAAGUUUCGGCGGUUGGGGAUGGACUCGCGGCUUAUCAGCUUGUUGGUGGGGUAGUGGCUUACCAAGGCUUUGACGGGUAGCCGGCCUGAGAGGGUGUCCGGCCACAUUGGGACUGAGAUACGGCCCAGACUCCUACGGGAGGCAGCAGUGGGGAAUAUUGCACAAUGGGCGGAAGCCUGAUGCAGCACCGCCGCGUGCGGGAUGACGGCCUUCGGGUUGUAAACCGCUUUCGCCUGUGACGAAGCGUGAGUGACGGUAAUGGGUAAAGAAGCACCGGCUAACUACGUG
rnacentral:rRNA from 1 species